UACGGAGGGUGCAAGCGUUAUCCGGAUUUACUGGGUUUAACGGGUGUGUAGGCGGGUCUUUAAGUCAGUGGUGAAAUCUCCGAGCUCAACUUGGGAACUGCCAUUGAUACUAUUGAUCUUGAAUUCUGUUGAGGUUGGCGGAAUAAAUCAUGUAGCGGUGAAAUGCAUAGAUAUGAUUUAGAACACCGAUUGCGAAGGCAGCUAACUAAACAGAUAUUGACGCUGAGGCACGAAAGCGUGGGGAUCAAACAGG
rnacentral:rRNA from 1 species